CGGUGGAUAACCUACCUAUUAGACUGGGAUAACUUCGGCGAAACCGCGAGCUAAUACCGCACAAUAUUUUGAACCGCAUGGAUCAAUAGUGAAACACGCGCCUUGCUGUCACUUAUACAUGGAUCCGCGCCGUAUUAGCUAGUUGUAAGGUAAUGGCUUACCACGGCGACGAUACGUACCCUACCUGAGAGGUUGAUCGGCCACACUGGAACUGAGACACGGUCCAGACUCCUACGGGACGCCGCCCCAGGGAAUCUUCCGCAUGGCGCGAAAGCCUGACGGAGCAACGCCGCGUGAGUGAUGAAGGUCUUCGGAUCGUAUAACUCUGUUAUCGGGGAAGAACCCACGUGUAAGUAACUGUGCACGUCUUGACGGUAGCUGAUCAGAAAGCCUCGGCCAACUACGUGCCAGCAUCCGCGGUAAUACGUAGGUGGCGAGCGUUAUCCGGAAUUAUUGGCCGCACAGCGCGCGUAAGCAGUUUUUUAGGUCUGAUGUGAGAGCCCACGGCUCAACCGUGCAUUGACAUUGGAACCUGGAGUCCUUGACUGCAGAAGAAGAGCUUGAAGUUCCAUGUGUAGCGGUGAAGUGCGCAGAGAUCUGGAUAAUACGUAGGUGGCCAGCGUUAUCCGGAAUUAUUGGGCGUAAAGCGCGCGUAGGCGGUUUUUUAAGUUUGAUGUGAAAGCCCACGGCUCAACCGUGGAGGGUCAUUGGAAACUGGAAAACUUGAGUGCAGAAGAGGAAAGUGGAUUUCCAUGUGUAGCGGUGAAAUGCGCAGAGAUAUGGAGGAACACCAGUGGCGAAGGCGACUUUCUGGUCUGUAACUGACGCUGAUGUGCGAAAGCGUGGGGAUCAAACAGGAUUAGAUACCCUGGUAGUCCACGCCGUAAACGAUGAGUGCUAAGUGUUAGGGGGUUUCCGCCCUUUAGUGCUGCAGCUAACGCAUUAAGCACUCCGCCUGGGGAGUACGACCGCAAGGUUGAAACUCAAAGGAAUUGACGGGGACCCGCACAAGCGGUGGAGCAUGUGGUUUAAUUCGAAGCAACGCGAAGAACCUUACCAAAUCUUGACAUCCUUUGACCGCUCUAGAGAUAGAGUUUUCCCCUUCGGGGGACAAAGUGACAGGUGGUGCAUGGUUGUCGUCAGCUCGUGUCGUGAGAUGUUGGGUUAAGUCCCGCAACGAGCGCAACCCUUAAGCUUAGUUGCCAUCAUUAAGUUGGGCACUCUAAGUUGACUGCCGGUGACAAACCGGAGGAAGGUGGGGAUGACGUCAAAUCAUCAUGCCCCUUAUGAUUUGGGCUACACACGUGCUACAAUGGACAAUACAAAGGGCAGCUAAACCGCGAGGUCAAGCAAAU
rnacentral:rRNA from 1 species